rnacentral:rRNA from 1 species
GUCGAACGCUGGCGGCGUGCCUAAUACAUGCAAGUCGAGCGCUGGAAGUCAUCCGAUUCCUUCGGGGGGAAGUUGAGGGAAAGAGCGGCGGACGGGCGAGUAAAACGCAAAGAACAUGCCCUCAGGUAUGGGAUACCCACGCUAAAACCGGGUUAAUACCGGAUGGGACAUAGGACCGCAUGGUCCGCGCUUGAAAUGCGCUGCGGCGUCGCCGGGGGAUGGCUUUGCGGUGCAUUAGCUAGUUGGUGGGGUAAUGGCCCACCAAGGCGACGAUGCAUAGCCGACCUGAGAGGGUGAUCGGCCACACUGGGACUGAGACACGGCCCAGACUCCUACGGGAGGCAGCAGUAGGGAAUCUUCCACAAAGGACGAAAGUCUGAUGGAGCAACGCCGCGUGAACGAUGAAGGCCCUCGGGUCGUAAAGUUCUGUUGUAGGGGAAGAACAAGUGCCGCAGGCAAUGGCGGCACCUUGACGGUACCUUGCGAGAAAGCCACGGCUAACUACGUG